rnacentral:rRNA from 1 species
GCAGCAGUGGGGAAUCUUAGACAAUGGGCGCAAGCCUGAUCUAGCCAUGCCGCGUGAGUGAUGAAGGCCUUAGGGUCGUAAAGCUCUUUCGCCAGGGAUGAUAAUGACAGUACCUGGUAAAGAAACCCCGGCUAACUCCGUGCCAGCAGCCGCGGUAAUACGGAGGGGGUUAGCGUUGUUCGGAAUUACUGGGCGUAAAGCGUACGUAGGCGGAUCAGAAAGUUAGGGGUGAAAUCCCGNGGCUCAACCUCGGAACUGCCUCUAAAACUCCUGGUCUUGAGUUCGAGAGAGGUGAGUGGAAUUCCAAGUGUAGAGGUGAAAUUCGUAGAUAUUUGGAGGAACACCAGUGGCGAAGGCGGCUCACUGGCUCGAUACUGACGCUGAGGUACGAAAGUGUGGGGAGCAAACAGGAUUAGAUACCCUGGUAGUCCACACCGUAAACGAUGAAUGCCAGUCGUCGGGNAGCAUGCUAUUCGGUGACACACCUAACGGAUU